GACGAACCGUGCGAACGUUAUUCGGAAUCACUGGCUUAAAGGGCGCGUAGGCGGGCGACCAAGUCAGGGGUGAAAUCGUUCGGCCCAACCGGACAAGGGCCCCUGAUACUGGUUGUCUCGAGGGAGGUAGGGGUCGAUGGAACUUCCGGUGGAGCGGUGAAAUGCGUAGAUAUCGGAAGGAACGCCGGUGGCGAAAGCGAUCGACUGGACCUCUUCUGACGCUGAGGCGCGAAAGCCAGGGGAGCCAAACGGGG
rnacentral:rRNA from 1 species